rnacentral:lncRNA from 10 species
AAAUGCCCAAGCGUUUAUUUUUUUCACAGAGAUAAUAUAACUCCAAAAAGAAAAAAUGUAGCUCCUAUUAUGUAAAUGAUUAAGGUCCUUUCAGAAACGUAUUUUUCCUCUCUGGGGUCUCAUCUGGAUAAUGAAAAGAACUUGAAUAUCUCCACCUGGAUUAGUGGACUGAGAACAGGAAGAACGUGAGGACAGAGGUCUCAGUGGGGUCAAAGGCUGGUUAAUAGGUACAAAAUUACAACUAGAUAGGAGGACUAAAUGUUAGUAUUCUAUAGCACUGUAUGGUAAAUAGGGAAAACAAUAAUUUAUUGUAUAUUUCCAAAAAGAGGAUUUUGAAUGUUCACAACCCAAAAAAAUGAUAAAUAUUUGAGAUGAUGGAUAUGCUAAUUACUCUGAUUUGAUUAUUAUACAUAGUACACAUGUAUUGAAAUAUUAUUUGGUAUCCUAUAAAUAGGACAAUUAUUAGCUGUCAUCUAAAAAUAAAAGGGAAAAAUAAGGUGUAGUAUCAGGAAAUUAGAGAGCUGGAAGGCUAGAAGAUUAGGGCAAAACCUUUGUUGCAAGGACUGAAUGAGAUUAGGUAUGUACAGUAGGGUGAGGUAGUGACCUCUGGCUAGGUGGCCAGAGUUUGAAUCAUUACUCUGUUUUUUUUUUUUUUUUUUUGAGAUGGAGUCUCACCCUGUCACCCAGGCUGGAGUGCAGUGGUGCAAUCUUGGCUCACUGCAACCUCCACCUCCCAGGUUCAAACAGUUCUCCUGCCUCAGCCUCCCAAGUAGCUGGGAUUACAGGCACGUGCCACCAUGCCCUGCUAAUUUUUGUAUUGUUAGUAGAGGCGGGGUUUCGGCAUGUUGGCUGUGCUGGUCUUGAACUCCUGACCACAGGUGAUCCACUCGCCUCGGCCUCCCAAAGUGCUGGAAUUACAGGCGUGAGCCACUGCGCUCCACCACUCUGUCUCUUUUGACUGUGUGACCCUGUGAAAGUUACUUACAUUAUCUGAAUCUCAGUUUCUGCAUCAGUGAGUUGUGCAGGUGAAAUAAGAUAAUAGAUGGAGGCUGCUUUACACAUGGUAAAUACUCAGAUGUUAGUUACUCAUAUUCAUUAUUAUUUUUAUUUUAUUUUUCAUUUUUCAACCUCAAAUUCCCCAAUUUAAAACUGCAACCCUCACUAUGCUCCAUUCUCCUUUCCUAUUUUAUUUUUCCUAUAGAACUCAUUACAAUAUUCAUACUAUAUAUAUUUUACUUAUUUAUCUUUUUAACUUUCCACAGUAGAACAUAACCUCUGUGGGGACAGGUAUUUUUUCUGUUUUGUUCACUAGUAAGGAGUGCCCAGGACAGUGCUAGUACACAGCAGGCAGUCAC